GGUCUCGCCGCUCAGUGUCGUCUUGUUGGUUGUCGCGUUCGUGUGCGCGCACUGAGAAAAGCGGAACGCCAGCGUUGCACUAACCGUUGCAGUUUCUAUAUUCCUCUCGAGUCGCCCGAUUUCAGAGCUGUUCGUACCGCUCGUGGAGUGCGUGCGUUUUAACCAAAACAACUACCAAAUCGCGUACAAGAUACCAAACCAAUACAACCGAUAGGCCCGAAAGGAAAACCCCAUGCUGUGGAGGGCAUUUUGCAUUUUGUUUACCUCGAUGGCUGUGUGGAGUGCAAUUUGACGAUUAUAUAAUAUAAAAUACAAAAUACAAAAAAAUAGCGAAAACAAGUAACAGUGCGCGGCAUUCGAUUUUAAUUGCAAUCAACUACAAUAACCGCUGAAAUCUUUUGCAGUAAUAUGUUGCCUUCAAAUCAAUUGGGAAACCAACAACCAAAGUUAACGCAACGUUUCUAAAACUUAAAGUCUAAACACCAAACCAAAUAAUAGUUACAAAAUACACAAUAAUAUUUAAACCAAACCAAAAGUGGCCUGCAAAACGAAGCAACCAAAACAACCAAGAAAUGUGAUUCAAAGUGUGCAAUGUAACCAAAUUAUAAUUAGCAAGCUAAAUAAAACGAUAACCAAAGCAGAAGAAGAGCCGUGGAAAAUCAGCGGGAAAACCAAAGCCAGGCCAAAUGGAAAACAAGGAAUCCGGCAGCCAAUCAAACAGCCAACUAGCAGCCAUCGUGGCCAAUGAUUAAGGGAACACUUUGUUAGCCAACUCGUAGUAGCAGCAUCCCCCGUCCACACAUAACACCCAGUAACACAGCCACUCAGCCGCACAGAACCACUCGACCUCCCCUCGCAUCUCGAUGCCCGCACAGAAGGCGUUGGAGCAACAAUUAUAGAAUAGACAGCCAGACAACCACAUCAGCUCCGCUCAGACCCAACUGCAAACUCCAAUCACCAGCUCCAGCUCCAACUCAAUCUCAAUCCCGAGCCAAAACCCCCAACAUGGACAUCAAGAUUGAGCAGCAGCAGCAGCAACAGCAAGUGGAGCUGGGACCCUGUUCCCCCUCGGAGGUGCCCAAUGAUCCCGGAAAAAUGUUCAUUGGCGGCCUCAGUUGGCAGACAAGUCCAGAGAGCUUACGCGAUUACUUCGGACGUUACGGUGAUAUCUCAGAGGCUAUGGUCAUGAAGGAUCCCACGACGCGCAGAUCCAGAGGCUUCGGCUUUGUCACAUUCAGCGAUCCAAAUAGCGUAGAUAAGGUACUCACCCAAGGCACACACGAGCUGGAUGGCAAAAAGGUCGAUCCGAAAGUAGCUUUUCCGCGCCGUGCACAUCCCAAGAUGGUGACGAGAACGAAGAAAAUCUUUGUGGGCGGCCUCUCGGCGCCCACCACACUGGAGGAUGUCAAAAGUUACUUCGAACAGUUUGGUCCGAUCGAGGAUGCAAUGUUGAUGUUCGAUAAGCAGACCAAUCGGCACAGAGGUUUUGGCUUCGUUACAUUUCAAAGCGAAGAUGUGGUAGACAAAGUUUGCGAAAUUCAUUUCCACGAGAUAAACAACAAAAUGGUCGAGUGCAAGAAGGCGCAGCCGAAGGAAGUGAUGCUGCCGGCCAAUCUGGCCAAGACGCGGGCUGCCGGGCGUUCCGCAUACGAUAACAUCAUGUGGGGACUGGGGACAUUGCCCGAAGGUUUUCCGGCAGCCGCCUAUGCUGCCUAUGCCGCUGGUCGCGGAUACUCGGGCUAUCCCAGUUUUGGACUGCCCUAUCCAACUGUUGAUCUAACCAAUGGGCAGCUGACACCCAACAACAAUACACCGCUGCUGACCCAGGCGCUGUCAGUGAUGAACAACUAUCAGGCGGCUGCUGCGGCUGCCCACAGCUAUGGACCGUCGGCAUCGCCGCAUGCCGCCGCCGCCAACACGGCCACCCGGCAGGGAUUCCCCUCCACCAACUCACCUGGCCCCACCAUCGACAUGUACAGCUCGGCGGCCGCCGACAAUGUGGGCUAUGUGCAGGCCACCAGUCCGCAGCCGUCCGGCUUCCCCAUCGCCGUCAGCCGCGCCCCGUUGAACUACAGCCCGAUUUAUUCGUUGAACUUUGCGAUGGCUAAUAUAUAAAAGACUGAUAACCCAAAAAUAUAAAUGCAAGAGAACAAAACAAAACAAAAGAUAUGCAAAAAGUAAAAGAAACCCAUUAUAUAUUUAAAUCGAAAAAAUAUAUGAAAAAUACAAAUAAAAUAAAGCUAAACGAAAGCAAACAAAAGAAAUAAGAGUAUAAAACAAACGCAGUUGCACAAGGGACCACUAAUUCCUGCGGCAUUUACAAAUGGAUACCAUUAAAAGGUGGCGCCGACAACCGCAAUGACAACAGCAACAACAACAGCAACAGCAGCAGCAGCAGCAACAACAGCAACAGGAGCAACAAAUGCAACAGCAACUUUAGCAACAAAUGACAGACACACACACACAUACACACUCAGACACAGAUACACACUGCAGUGCUGCAACCACAGAGCGCAAAAAAGAAGUAAUUUAAAGUUAUAUAUACCUGCAUAUAUAUAAAUAUAAAUCAAAUAAAGUACAUAUUACAUAUUUGUGUAUUUCCACAUGCAAGAAAAACCGAGACAACUGCAAGAGCAACAAACAAUAAACCAAACACACAUAUUAUAAUUAAUUAAUUAACGUAUAUUACAAAUACGUAUAUAUAAACGCAUGGGAAAAACGUAAAAAAGCGAAAAAUGAACAAAAAAAAGUGAUGAGGACGAACUACGAGCGAACACAAACAACAAAAAUUAAUUUUAAUUUAACAACUACUACAACAACAACAACAAAAUCGGCAAGAACAACGCUCGGCCCCGAAAGAUGCAACGUGUGCAGCAAAAAUCGUUUAAAAUGCAAAUUAAACGGAAACUGUGCGUCCAACUGGAGUGGAGUGCCAUCGCGAUGGGGCGGUGGGUGGGGGCGUGGUCCUGCUCACACAGCGAAAAAAAGGACUCCACCGCACCGAGCCGCCAACACGCCCCACGCCCACCGCCCACAGAUGACAACCAGGCCAAAAGGGGCGUAACCACUUUUAAGUAAUGAGAAACCAACAAACAAAAAAGCAAAAACCAAACAAAAAAAAUAUAAAUCACAAAAAAGUACGUGGGGGUUACUAAUAAAACGACAGAGUUGAAAAACAGGAUAAAGCGAAAAUGUUGCAAUAAUAGCGAAAAUGUUAUUAUUUAAUUGCGUAUUAUUAAAGGCAAAUUAUUAUUACCAUUAUUAUUGCUAUUCUUAACGUAUCUAAGUUGUAACUUUUAAAGUUAAAGUCGAUAUAUAUAUAUAUAUAGUAUAUAUACCUAUAUAUACACAAGAAUAUACACUCUUAUACACAUAAAGUAAACUGCAAUAUAUACAAAGGGAAUUACUUGAAUCAAAAAACGCGAAACCAACCACAAGUUAUUGUACUUUCAACGAUAAUCGAUUUAAGAUGCGAAUUGGAGGUGUUCGAGUUUGAAAAUGUUAAGAAUCGGUUGGGUUUAGUUCUGAUUUCCGGACUGGGUUGGGGUAUGAAUCAAAUCAAAAUUGUGCUUACAAUUAUAUUUAUGAAUUUAUUUUAAAGUACAACAAAUCCUUUAUUGGCCAAAGUAAACAACAAAGAAACAAAAGCGAAUGUGAGCAAAAGUCGAAGGCAAUUUGUUAUUAACUAUGUUGAAGUUCUCUUUCUCAUUAUUUCAAUCGAGUCAGGGGAAGGUAGAGGAAAAACCUAUAACUUUUGUGUUCACAUUGAAAGCAAAGUGGUAAAUAAUGCUAAUUAAUCAGUGGAUAGUUAGACAAAUAUGUUAAAGCAUUAAAUAUGACAAUGAAAGCGAAGUGAGAGAGUGAAAUUCCGUAGCUCGAUGCAUAAAUCAAUUUAUUUGCUAAACACAAUGGAGUAUCCGAAACAAUGAAAACGCAAAAAGCAAAAUGCAACACCCUAAAUAUGUAAGAAACACACCAUUUUUGAGAUACAAGAUACCAGAGAGCAGAUACAAGAUACAUACAUACACGCCACACACCCAAACACAAUACACGAACAUAACACAGAUCUUACCGAUAAAUCAAAAAGAAACACUUAAACAAAUUACUUGGUAAGAGCAUAUGCAAAUAUAACAAUGAACUAUUAUACAUACAACAUAUAGUACGAUUAAGUAAAUAAAAUAUUUAUAAAACAAACGCGCAAAAUUGCAAAUGUUUGAACACUUAACUAAAUAUAUCUGUAAACAAGCGUGUAAAAAGGAUCACAGAUGCGCCACCAAAGCGCUAGUGGAAAAUUGGAAAUGAAAACGAUGAUGAAAAUUGAAAUGAAUAUGAAAAUGUCGAUGACGAUGACGAUGAUGAUGAAUGCAGGCCACGCAAUGUGCAAUUAAUUUUUUUCUAGUCGCUCCGUCCGGCUAAAUCGCCCGGACGAUGAAUGUACUAGACAUAUUUGAGGAUUAUGACGAUAACGACGACGAUGCAAUCGGGGGCGUAAUAGAAAAAUAUAUUUAUAUACAACUAUAUGGAGUAUUAAAUUAUUGGAAAAGCAAACCAAACAAAACCUAUCAGCUAGAUAAGUAAACAACAUUUGUUACACACAGCAAGUGGGGGAUAAUUGCGAGCAACAAAAAACCAGAAAACCAAAAUAGCAGAGACAAGAAAAUAUUCUAUAAUUGACAGAACAACAAUACAUACGUUGCGCUUUUUGUCUGUCUGAGAUUUUUUGCAUUAGGCGACGAAAAAACAAAAACCCACACACACACACACACACAACUGAAACAAAAGCCAAGAGACAGCAAACAGCAAGCGGAGAAAAGCCAGUGGAAAAACAAAAGCAAAUGCCGAAACAGUGAAAAUGUUCCUUUCAUAACUUUUUUGCCAAAUUGUCAAACCAACGCUCUCCAGGAAUUUUGUCGAGUCCUCGGACCAACAAACUUACACAUUACCUAUAUAGUAUGUUAGAUGGAAUCGCGGAAACAGAAACCGAAUCCGAACAGCAAACAUAUGCGAUAAUUGAAGAGGGACAGCAAAUAGUUGCAGUGUAACAUAAACAACAUUAAACGUUUAAAGAGUUGACUAUACCCCACACGCCGAUCAUUUCAGAUUUUCCAAAGAUCGCGGCUUGCGACUUUGCCAUGUGCAUCACACUUACAUAUAAAUAAUCAAAAAACCAAACAAAUUAAGGAAGCUAAGGAAGGGGGAAAUCUUCAAUUUUAGAUAGACAAAGAUCAGACCAUUCGACGGUCUGGCAUAUCGGGACUUUGGACGGAAGAAGAUUACUUUAGCAGGUCACAGGUCAUUGGAGGCGAAUUCCAAAUGCAGCUUCUAUCCUGCGGGGCAGAUAUUUUUAAACGGGGGAGGCUGGCGGAGGGCAGCGACGGCAAACAUGUUAUAUUUGCAUAAUAUAUAUAUAUAUAUAUAUAUUAAACCUACUUCUAAGGCAUAUAUAAAUAUAUAUAAAUAAAUAUAUUUUUAAGACAUGUUCUAAAAGCAAUAAUUCAAAACAACAACAAGCGCGGCAGAGGCAGAAGUAAAUUGAACAAAUCCCCAAAAAAGGAAUACAUAAAAUAUACACCAAUAUAUAAAUAUACAUUAAAUAUAUACACCUACACCUAAUUAUAUAUAUAUACAUGCAUACCAGAUAUAUAUAUAUCUAUAUAUGUAUGUAUUCAAGAAGCGACUAGCUGCAACACCAGGCCGACCUUCGACUAUCUUAGUCCGAGUCUGAGGAAAUCAUUUCGCUGGCAGCUAAGCCUGUAUUGCUACACUUCUUUAACUAGUGCCCCAUGAUCCACGAUCGUUGGGCCGGCAAUCGUUUGUACUCGUAUUAUUUGUGGUGUAGGUAGACGCAGGACGAAGGACCUCGAGACAGACUCGGGAUCCCCAAAUCCCUUUUCGUUGUAAGUCGAUGCAGCUUUAGGUGUAAUGUUGAGUCUUUCCUAGAAGUUUCCCCAGCAUUCCCAGCUAUCGAUCGACUCUAGGCUUUCCGUUUGUGUUUUGUAGUGCUGUAUAUUCUAUUAAGGAUCUUCUGCGGAAGCUAUAGCCGAUCACAGACAUAUAUAGUAACUAUUGGUAUACCGGAUCAACUUCUGCUUAAAGAAUACCGAAACAACAAGCAAUGCGUCCUUGUAACAAAAUCAAUUUCAGUCAAUUAGAGAAUUUCCAACACCAAACAGCACAGAGACAUAAAGACAACAACAAGCAACAAGAACAUUUUUUAAAUACCAAAAAAAAAAGAACAAAAAGCGAACAAGUGAAGACAAAAACAAAGCAAAAACAAACAUUUUUUCAUUAUUUUUUUACUGAUGCGCCGUCGGAGCGAAGAAAAUAUAGGUUGAGAUCGCGGAAGUGGACGGCGCAGGCGCAAAAGCUUUAAAUUGAACAAAAUAUUAAUAACACGAACAAGGAAAAAAAAAACAAUUUAUAGGAUUCGACAUGUGAGCUCUCUUUUUUAUAUCGAGAACGGAGAAGUGUGUGUGUAUAAAAAGUAUGCCGUAACGAUUUUUUUAAAAUAAUGUACCCCAUACUUUAAGCUAUACGCAACUUUCGGUCAAAAAGUCAAUUGGUGGUCGAAGCCGGGUGGUAGAAAGCCAAAAGUUGAAAAUAAACACGUGGCACAAAAAAGACAUAAAGUGUAAUGUAAAAUAGUUUUAAAUUGGCGGAACACCAGAAGACGACGAUGAGGAUUGGGUGUAGGCGGAGUUACGUAGAUACAUAUACGAAUUGCUUUCCGUUUUUCUCUUAUUAUUGACUUACAAACAUAUCAGUUCUUAUUAUGUGUAUGAGUAUAGCAACAACAUCAACAAAUACGAUUACAAUUACGAUAAAGAUUACGAUAAUGAAAUACAAUUUAACUAAUAUCUAGCGCUAACGAACGAAUGUACUUUCUGUUUACCAAAACCAAGAACAACCACACAGAUGAGUUAGGCAUGCCGCCCACUUGGCCUUUUUGAGAAGCGCAGAGAGAGGCGCAAAGGGGCGCAUUUGCGAACGAUUUACGACUUGUGGGCCUUCUACACUUUGACGUGCUUUUAUACGAUAGCAAUCCUUUUACUCACACAAGACAUUUCUAUCCUCGGUUCUUUUUUAUAGACAUGUGUACAUACACCCCACAGCACCCACAUAAAGGACACACACACCCAUACAACCAUACACCCACACUCAGCCACAGACAAAGACACAGUCACAGACACUGGCACACGCAUAUAUACGAUGGAGAUCACAUACAAAAGAACCUUCAUACGAACGAUCACUUGACUAUUUUUGCUAUAAGUAAGAAAUUCCCCCCAGGAAUGUGUCAGUUGGAAGUGGCAGAACUCCUGCUGACAAAACACCUUUACUAUAUUGACAAUAUCUCUUAUAUAUUUUACACUAUACUAUAUGGAAAAUUAUAUAUUAAUAUAUACAAGAAAAUGAGGAAAACCAAAAACCAAAAACAAAUAAUACAUAAUUGAGGCAAGACAAACGGCGUGAGUGGCGUUAAAAUUGUAUUUACAAGAAAUGCGUAACCAAGCAAGAUGAAAUCAUUUUAAUACUUUAUACACAUAAAAGUCAAAGGAAUCUUUAGAGAGGAAAACAGGCGGCAGAUGAAUAUGCAACUACAAGACAGACAACAAGACGAUGAAGAUACAUUUAUAAAAUGCGCCAUAGCAGGGCGUCCAGUUUGUAAGUAUUCUAACUAUGUAAGUAAAGUAAUUAAGGAGCGCAGAACGAGAAUCAAUUAAACAUACAUACUACUGUCUACGAAGCCGCAGAGCCAAAAACUCUGCCCACUUUCAGUGCGAAUACUGUAACAACACAAAUGAAACCAGAUGGAAUGAAUGCCGGAUGCAGGAUGCGAUGUAUUCGCAUGAUUCAAAAUCGGACACAUUGGGUAUGAUGAUGAAUGUUGGAUGCGAGUUGCGAGUUGCGAGAUGGCCAAUGUGUGUACAUAAGCAUAAACAUAAUAUAAACUGGUACAGUACUACACUUACAGCAAACUAUACAAGGUAACAACAUAAUAAUUAAACGCCAGGAAAGCGCAACAAAGCGACAAAGGCGAAGACACAUACACAUAAAUAGAGGCAUAACGAGAAUUUAAUAAACCAUUUUUCAUUUCUAUAAAGAAAUCCGGUAACGAAUUUGUAUAUUUACUACGAGAGAAUGCAUAAGAACGAGUCAAGAAAUAAGAAAAUCCGAGAUAUAUACAAAAAGAUAUAUAUUAAACGGAGGACAAAUCCCAAAAAGACCGAAGAAUCCUUCUGAGGACAGCAAAUAAGCCCGUAUAUAUGAGAAAAUAAAACCCAAAUUGAUAUAUACAUAUAUAUACAUAGUUAUAUAACCAAGAACAACAAAUAAACAUAUAGUUAAAUUCAAUAAUGUUAAGCAUUCGAUGAGCAAACAGACAGGCAGGCAGUCACGCAUAUUGGUGGUUACAAAAAAAUUCAAUUAUAUUUAAGGACCCUCGAACCGAAAGAACAUAAUGAAACUAUGCGGCCACCAACAGCAUCAGCAACAAAACCAUCAACAACGGCAACAUCCUUAACAACAAACGCAAGUGCAACAUUUAUUAACGGACGACAAAAGGGCAAAUUGUUGCUCUUUUACACACACGAAAUUACAUAAGUUUUUAAGAGAGAGACACACACACACACCUCACCCAUUCACACCCACAUCCACUCACACAGUCAGCCCGCAAUAUGUAUAUGCAGCAAAAGUGCGAACAGCUUUAGCAGCAAAUUAAAACUCACUUUGUUCACCAUGUGCCACGUACAGGGGAGGAUAGACGAGGAUCUUGGGGAAGUGGAUGGAUAGCUAUCCCACUAUACCCUCGAUCGGGUUAAGAUCGGCAGUGAAAUAGGCAGAAUCAGCAGCAAGAACAGAGAUCAGCAACCGCAUAUUAAACCAAAAUGAACAAAAAAACGGAGAAAACAAACAAAAAAUUCAAAUGAACAAAAAUGAACUAAAACAUGAUUUUAAACAAAAAUGAAAUUAAAUAAUGGCAUAUUAAGUUAAGCUAAUGGUACAUAAGUUUAAAAAACAAACGGCAAGAAACGCUCUAGAGCAACAAAAAAACAAGAUGAACCGAAAACCAAGACAAACAAAUAUAUAUAUAUAUAUAUAUAUAUAAAUAUAUAUA